UGAGGAAUAUUGGACAAUGGAUGGAAAUCUGAUCCAGCCAUGCCGCGUGCAGGAAGACGGCCCUAUGGGUUGUAAACUGCUUUUGUAUGGGAGCAAUAAGGACUACGUGUAGUUUUAUGAGAGUACCAUACGAAUAAGCAUCGGCUAACUCCGUGCCAGCAGCCGCGGUAAUACGGAGGAUGCGAGCGUUAUCCGGAUUUAUUGGGUUUAAAGGGUGCGUAGGCGGCGAUAUAAGUCAGUGGUGAAAUAUUUCGGCUUAACCGAGAGGCAGCCAUUGNUACUGUGUUGCUAGAAUAUGGUUGCUGUGAGUGGAAUGUGUGGUGUAGCGGUGAAAUGCUUAGAUAUCACACAGAAUAUCGAUUGCGAAGGCAGCUCACAAAGCCAUUAUUGACGCUGAGGCACGAAAGUGUGGGGAUCAAACA
rnacentral:rRNA from 1 species